rnacentral:rRNA from 1 species
UGAAUGCUGGCGGCGGUGGAUAAGUCAUGCAAGUCGAAGGGGGCCCGCAAGGGCAACCCGGCGAACGAGGUAGUAAUACAUAGGAACUUCCCCUCUAGUCGUGAAUAAUUCAUCGAAAGGUGGACUAAUACACGAUGGUCUCGCAAGAGUAAAGUUUUAACGCUAGAGGAAAGGCCUGUGCGAUAUCAGCUAGUUGGUAGUGUAAUGGACUACCAAGGCUAUGACGUCUAGGGGAGGUGAGAGCCUGACCCCCCACCGAUGGUACUGAGACACGGACCAUACACCUACGGGUGGCUGCAGUCGAGAAUCUUCCACAAUGGACGAAAGUCUGAUGGAGCGACGCCGCGUGAUUGAUGAAGUCCCUCUGGGACGUAAAGAUCUUUUGUAGGUUAGAAAGUUUAUUGAUCAACCUAAGAAUAAGAGGCUCCUAAUCUCGUG